rnacentral:other from 1 species
UGACCUCUGUCAUGUUUGCAAUGGGGAUAGUUCUCGAACCGACUCCAUUUCAUGAGGGAGCCCAGAUUCCGUCGAUUGGGUAUUGCCGCAUUCAUGCGGCUCAUUGCCUGUGACGACGGUGCGGCGCCCACCUGAGCCUGCGGGUUCAGAAUUUCCGUCGUCAUUGCGGCAUUGCGAUGGAGGUCUU